CAGCCGCCGCGGGAAUACGUAGGGUGCAAGCGUUAAUCGGAAUUACUGGGCGUAAAGCGUGCGCAGGCGGUUAUAUAAGACAGAUGUGAAAUCCCCGGGCUCAACCUGGGAACUGCAUUUGUGACUGUAUAGCUAGAGUAAGGCAGAGGGGGAUGGAAUUCCGCGUGUAGCAGUGAAAUGCGUAGAUAUGCGGAGGAACACCGAUGGCGAAGGCAAUCCACUGGGCCUGUACUGACGCUCAUGCACGAAAGCGUGGGGAGCAAACAGGAUUAGAUACCCCCGUAGUCCCUGUCUCUUAUAC
rnacentral:rRNA from 1 species